AUUGAACGCUGGCGGCAGGCCUAACACAUGCAAGUCGAACGAGUGGCGGACGGGUGAGUAAUGUCUGGGAAACUGCCCGAUGGAGGGGGAUAACUCCUGGAAACGGUAGCUAAUACCGCAUACCAUCGGAUGUGCCCAGAUGGGAUUAGCUAGUAGGUGGGGUAACGGCUCACCUAGGCGACGAUCCCUAGCUGGUCUGAGAGGAUGACCAGCCACUCGGGAACUGAGACAGGGGCCAGACUCCUACGGGAGGCAGCAGUGGUGAAUAUUGCAAAAUGGGCGCAAGCCUGAUGCAGCCAUGCCGCGUGUAUGAAGAAGGCCUUCGGGUUGUAAAGUACUUUCAGCGAGGAGGCGUUACUCGCAGAAGAAGCACCGGCUAACUCCGUGACAGCCGCCGCGGUAAUAC
rnacentral:rRNA from 1 species